rnacentral:rRNA from 1 species
AUUGAACGCUGGCGGCAUGCUUUACACAUGCAAGUCGAACGGUAACAGGCCUUCGGGUGCUGACGAGUGGCGAACGGGUGAGUAAUGCAUCGGAACGUGCCCAGAGGUGGGGGAUAACGCAGCGAAAGCUGUGCUAAUACCGCAUGUGAUCUGAGGAUGAAGGCGGGGGACCAAGCAGCAAUGUUUGGCCUCGCGCCUCUGGAGCGGCCGAUGUCAGAUUAGGUAGUUGGUGGGGUAAAGGCCUACCAAGCCGACGAUCUGUAGCUGGUCUGAGAGGACGACCAGCCACACUGGGACUGAGACACGGCCCAGACUCCUACGGGAGGCAGCAGUGGGGAAUUUUGGACAAUGGGCGCAAGCCUGAUCCAGCAAUGCCGCGUGCGGGAAGAAGGCCUUCGGGUUGUAAACCGCUUUUGUACGGAACGAAAAGGCUCUGGCUAAUACCUGGGGCUGAUGACGGUACCGUAAGAAUAAGCACCGGCUAACUACGUG